GGAUUGUUAGCUCAGUGGUAAAACAUUGGCUUUGCAUGCAGAAGCUCUGCAGGUUCCAUUCCUGGCAUAUCCA